UAAAAGUAUAUUUUUGUUACUUUGGGGUUGCCACCGAUAAAAAUAUAUCUCGAAUGACAAACGUUUAAAAUGCGUCUGUGUUACUUGUGAAUAAAACACUGAUUAAAAACCGUUAUUGACAUUAACAUGUAUAUUAAUAAUGGCAAUAAAAAAUACCAAGCAAAACCGCGCGAGAAACCCGCGCUACCAAACCGUUCGAUAUAAUAUUUAAUCUGUUGAUGUAAAAAUAAUGAUAAACUGAUAAGCGACAUUAUAAAGUGCACUAAUUCGUGUUGAAAUUCGCCAAUUUUAUUUAAUCAGUAUAUAAUACAAUAAUAAAGGAAAACUAACUGGAUAUUAGAACAUUAUUAAAAACAAAACAAGUACUAUAUGUAGGCAUUUUAAAAAGUUCCUAUUUAAAUUGUCAUCCGUGUUGACGUUAUCAAAUACGUAAAAUGAUAAUUAUAAAUGAAUAUUAUAUAAUAUUAUCAAUAAAUGAGCGAUUGACUUGAUUGUGA